AUGAAAGCAAGUUCUCCCCUGGAGCCAUCUUGAUUUUGGACCAGUGAAACUGGUUUUGGACUUCUUACUCCAGAACUGCUCUACAAGAAGCAUGGUAUCAGCAUCUGCUUCUGAUGAUGCCUCAGGCUGCUUCCACUCAAGUUGGAAGGAAAAAGGGAGGCUGCAUGUGCAGAGAUCACACGGAGGAGGAGGAAGCAAAAGAGAACUUUCUAGCUCGAAAUCACGUAUGGAAGCUGAGUCACCUCCGUUUCUCCUGGAGCCCGAGCUGGCUGUCACCGAGACCUUGCUCAUUAUGCAGACUCAUUCACAUGCAUACCCAAAGCAACACUUGACGGUUGUGGAAGAUUUCCAUCCUCACAGGUCAUGAAAUGCGUCUCCACUGGAAUACUGGUUGUUUAUCACCUACACUAACGAUUUACAAUGGCCUAAGUGUUGUAUUCCUAGUGACUGUAGUCUGAAUCAAAAACUCCUGCCCUGAAGCAAGGACAACUUCUUUAUUCACAUGGAGAAUGAUAGCAGGGAAAAGGCAAAAAUUUAACAAUAACGAAGAAAAAUCCCUCUUUUUCUAUGUGCAGAAUAAAAAUCUUAUUAAAAUAA